rnacentral:misc_RNA from 1 species
GAAAAAGAGGAUCAUUAUUAGAGACUUUGUGCAAUUGUGGCAAAGAAGCUUCAGAAUCAAUUUUGUAACUAAACCAUCUCUUGAUUUUGCUUUCAGGGAUUUUUUUUGUUUUUUCAUUUUGAAAUGUGCUAUUCCUCCCUAGCAUCAUUUCAUUGUGUUCUAGUGCCUCAACAGAUUCAGUAGCAUGGAAAAACAUGGACUUUGAAACAAAGACAAGUAAGAAACAAA